rnacentral:lncRNA from 1 species
CUUCCUAUAUUAAUUUGUAAUUGUAAUAAUACAAAAGCGUAUAGAACUUACCAGAGCUAUAAACCAUUUUCAAUAUACUUUUCGCUUUGCAAAUAUUUGAUUAUGUUAUCCACUCUUCCAAAUUGUUUGAUUCAAAUCAAACCUUUAAUAAAUUUAUAGUUGCAAUAAAUUAUAUAAAACAUACUAACUAAAUUUGACAAGAUAAACGAUACAAUCAAAUUUUAAAGUUAAAAAUAUUAUUAACUAAUUUAAAUUAAAUAAGUUGAUAGAUUGAAUAGUAAAAUUAAAAUCUGAAAAAAUUGCAUAGUCAGAUUCAAAACUUUGUUUUACCACAACAUGGAAAAAGGACUGCAUGUGAUAGACAAUGUAUGCAUUAUUAUGACCAAAAAGAUAAAUCCAAGCCAAUAAUAUUAAAAAUAAAGCUUGUGGGCUCCUUGUAGACAUUUUAUGCGUGUUAGUAUCUCUCUCUCUCUCUCUCUCUCUCUCCUUAUCUUUUGGAUUUCUUUUUGACCAAUUUGCAUAAAAAAUUCAUAAAUUUUAAGCUUUUGCAAAACAGGGUCAUCUUUUUCAAUUUUGCAGAUUCGGACCAAAUUUUUCGCCAUCGGACGAAAAUACCUUUAUUCCUUUUCUUUGUCUCUCUUCUUUUUUUCUUUCUCUCUCUUUUUUUCCUUCAUUAUUUUCUUCUCGAGGACGCGCUCCAGAUCGCCCUCCCCAUCGCGGAUGAGUUCCGUCACCUGCUCCUCCGCGACGCCCUCCCCAUCGCCUCCUCCUUCGCGGCCCUCAGCGAUGGUAAUGAGGGUGGCGCUGCUUCUUCUUCCUCCAUCUCCUCCUCCGUCGGCACUGGCAGUCCUCAGUGAUGGUAACGAGGGCGACGCCGCCUCCUUUUCCUCUUCUCCGCCUUCGCCUUCGGAAAGUAAAAAAAAUAAAGAAAAAAAUUGUCUCGUUGAAAAACUAUUAUAUAUCGUUACUAUUAUCAGACAAGGCAAAAAAUCAUAGAAAAAGGAAGAAGAAGAUGAAAGUUGCACUGUUAAAAUUAAAUUGCACAAUUUUUAAAAAAAAUUGCACUAUUUAAGGUGAAUGUUACACUCUUUAAAAUAAAAAUUAGCCUCUUUGAAACAAAAAUUGCACCAUUUCAUCCAAACUUGCAUCAUUUCACCAAAUUUUACACAAUUUCGCCCAAAAUAGCACCAUUUCUCCUUCUCCUCCUCUUCCAUUACACCAUUACACCAUUACAACAAAAAUCUCCUAAAAACCGAGCCGGAUUCGCCUACACCGCUAACUCGCCCCAUCCUUCCUCUGCCGCCUUCGCCACUCCCGUUCGA